rnacentral:lncRNA from 1 species
UACAGCUUUUAAACUUUUCUUAAAAUACUUGAAAAUUAUUUCACAACAUAAUAAAAUCUAAUUUGACUUUCACAACUUAACGCUUUAAUUUUUUUAAGUAUAUAAUUGAUUUCCGGAUCUUAAUAAUGGACGAACGCUGUAGUAAAAAUAGGAGGCCCAGCAGUAAAUAUCGGGAGCAUAUUUUAGAAGUGUUUUGUAUCUGACUAAAUCUAACACAAAUUUCAAAAAAUGAGAUCCUUUGGGGAAUCCAAAGACAAAAGAAUUAGGAUUCUUAAAAAUUCCAUCUGUAUAAGCUACGAAGCUCUUACUAAAUAUAUCUAUAAGAAAUGGUUUUAUAGCUAGGCUAUCGAUAUCAGUAUAAAUGCCUUCAUUUCUUUCAUCAUCAAUAAGCUCAGGAACUUUCAGCUGAAGAUCUUGUAUGUUCUUUGUUCUGAGUCUGAAAAAAUGAAAACAGGCCCGCUUUUUUGGAACUGAUAAUCUGAAGAAUGAGUUAAAUUUUCCUAAGCUAUUGUGAUUAAUAUUAUAUAUUUCCUGAGUGGUGAACUAUUUUCUUACUAUAUUCAAAAACAUCUCCGAGUCAAAUUGAGGAUCAACGUGGGGAGUAAUUCUCGUCAAUGUUCUUGACAAUGUCCCUCUCUCCCUCCACCUUUAUCAAAGCUGAUGUAAUGAAACGUCAUGACUGCUAAGCUGUUCUCCUUCAAAUGGGCAGGGAUACAAUGUUGAUUAAGGGUUUUUUUAACAUGCCCAAACUGUACAUGAUUUUCAUCACAAUUUAUAAUUGACCUUUCACAAUUAAUGAAGGAAAUCAAUGUUGAAUUUCGAAGAGAGUUCUGAUUCAACCACAAAUGAUAACUUAAAUGUGGAUAAAAUAUACGUUUCGUAUAUA